CCAUCCUCUGCUAUUUCAGAAAAUGGCUGGGAAAGCCUUGGGGACAAAUAUCACUGACGAUGUCUUCAUGGUUAAACAUCCUAAACUACCUCUUGUCCUGUUUCUUGCUUGUUUUACACUGUGUGGGCCUUAUUCUCCUCCAACGUGCAUCAGGUUCACAUGGAUGUAACUCCAUUGGUAUCAGGGGAGUAACUCCUGAUUUACAUCAGCACAGGCUAGAAGACAUUCAAGCCCUAUGUAUAGACCUCUUCUCUCCCUGCUCAGCUACUAUUUUGGACUAGGGCAUGGGCAUGAAACAUUUACUGGUGGUUGUGAAGAGUCCAGCAAAGCAUAGUAAAGAGAUGGCUCAGUGCUUAGGGUACUAGCCGGCAACGGGAUUCAGUUCGCUGCUCUGCUACAGACUUCCUGCGAGACAGUGGGCGAGAUGCUUAGUCUGGCCAGGCCCCAGUUCCCCGUCUGAUAAACAGGAAUAACAGCACUUUCCUACCUCACAGGGGAUUUUGUGUGUAAAUGUAUUGAAGAUUUAUAAGGUGCUUAGAUCCUAUGGUAUUGAGGACCAAUAUGUACCCUGGAUAAGUAAGGACCCUUGCUCUCUUCUAGGCACCAAGUAACUCCAAAGUUUUGCUUGGGCUGAGCAAGGCUUAGAUGAGAUUUAUUUGCUGCCAAUGCAUUAGGAUAUCUCUGUGUCCUCCAAUCAGGAGGCAGGAGUCACGGGCCAUAUGGGGAAAAACUGAUACAUGAAUUGCAAAGUCAGCUCACAUUCCAGCUAGGGUAACAAAAGUGUGUCUGAAGAAGUGGGUUUUUUAUCCACAAAAGCUUAUGCCCAAAUAAAUCUGUUAGUCUUUAAGGUGCCACCGGACUCUUUGUUGUUUUUGUGGAUACAGACUAACAUGGCUACCCCUCUGAUAAGAGUGUGUUUAUUCCCACCCCUCCCCACCGCCAGUGCUGGUCCUCUGUUGUUGGCCUACACAAACUUUCCCAGGCCCCCUGGGGAGUUACCUGCUUCUCUGGAGGGGGCUGUCUUGGACAUUCAACCAAAACACUGUGCAGCAGUUUGUGAAGAGGACAUCUCCAUUAAUACUGCUUUCACACUUCUCUCCUCAGUCGGGUUAGUGGGUGAGGUCUUUUUCUUCCCUCAUUACCGACUGAGUCAAGGAAUUAUUCCCACUGGAGAAGGCUGGACAUGGAGUUAAGGCACUGGAGUUGAAGGCUGGACAUGGAGUUAAGGCACUGGAGUUGAAAGGGGGUUCAAUUCCCUGGUUUGCUAGACAUCCUUAACCCUCCCCACCUUUAAAAAUGGUAUGACCCUUGUCUUUUCAGAUAGUGAACUACUCUGUUUUUUACUAUGCAUCUGUGCAGAGGCCGGCACAAUGGGUCCUGAUCUCAGCUGGAGUCUCUGGGUGCUACUUGGACAACAGAUAAAUAAUAUUAACACAGUAGUGGCUGAUUGCGCCUCCUCCCCUCAAAAUAUGACUUCCUGGAGAAAUAAAGCCAGGCUGGAAAUGUUGGGGGAAAGGAUUCCCUGUCAUAACUUCUCCUCUUUUUCCAUGUCAUCUUCAUUAUCAUCAGAAUCUUAGGGCAGUGCUGGGUUGUGUAUUUUCUGUAUGGAGCAUGAAACCAGCUGAAGGUGAAAGUAAUAAACAAAGACCCUGAUUUCCAAGCAUGAAUUGUGUGUGUAUAGAUCAAAACCUAGAAGUUCCGCAGUAAAACUUUAGCGCUCCAACAGUUUGAGUGAGUCCUGUAUUUACCGGUUGCAAUUGGGAAUCCCCUGAGCAUGCUGUUGCACCUUUCUCUAUCUCAUUAGCAUUACCAUGGACGUGUCCGAAGCUUCCAGGCCUCUUCCCCGUCUCACACCAGUGUGAAUGGCAAUCCUUGGGGCUUUAGCUCCUGCUUUUAUAGACAUCCCCAUCUUUUCUGUCCACUGCGGUCGUUUUUAAGCCCCAGCCAGGGUCUCGGUUCAGGUUUGGACACAAGAGGGCGCUGUCGAGCUAUUGCAGGCGUAGGGCAGUUUGUGGAAAAGACCUGGCAGCUGAGACAAAGAGCUGGUGCAGGAGGAGGCGAGAUGUUGGGAACGCUCUGUCCACUUUGUGUGCGGGAUCAGAUUUGUUGCUGGAUACCAAAACUUCUGUGAAACAGUCCCUGUGGCCCGUGAUGGAGAGAAGGAGACAGAUGUGUCAGACUGUGCCUGAGGGAAAUGAGGGCAGUGUUGAACAAACAUGUCCAAGAGGCCGAGACAGGAAGGCAGAAUCACUAGGAUCCCAGCCGAACAUGCAAAACCCUGUUUUGAACAUCAACACGAUCUACUGUUUAUUCCAGAGUAUGAAAAUCGAGCUGCUUCCUGUGCUCUUCAUACAUCAUCACCAACAAAGCCAGAUAUGAGAACCUAGCUCAAAUUCCAGGGUGAUUAUUGUCAUGCAUGAUCUAUGGAGCAAAUAAAUUAUAGCUUUAUUUUUAUAAGGUACAAUUGAGCCUCCAGGCUUCAGUAGUAACAAAAACACAACGCAGAACCUUGGUUUAACUAGAAAUUUGAGGAAAUAUGACAAAUCUGACAUGGAAGUCACAAAGUAAAUAAAUAUGCACAUCCAUCAUUUUGUAAAACAAUGCCUUCGCUAGAGAGAGACCUCUGCUUGUUUUAUUCUGGAAGGCAUUGUCGGCCAUACUGUUCCAGUUCAGGGACUCUUGCAACAGAAAAGAUCAGCUGUUGGAGAACCCAUGGAAGGCCCUUGGGGAAGCGCCAUGGCCGCAAGGACUGCCCCACAUCUCUCCUCUCUUGGACUAAUCCAAUCCAAGAGGCGAGGAUGGGUGUCUUGAUGGACCUGCCCAUGGGAAUCUAGCAGAAGUUUGUAUUCUUAGGGGCAUCUCAGUGACCCAGGAUUGAAGAUGUAUACAUAUAAUGCACACUGCUUGUAAUGUAUAAUACAUACAAUGUGAUUUGUCUAAUAAUACUGGGGAUAAUGUGUUUUGCAUCUUCACAUUCCAACGUUGGGGUGCUUACAGGUAGUAGACUAUUUAAAGGGGGGCAUGUACAGGUGUUUGUGUAACCCACACAUCUCCUGGGUGUGGUGUUCUGUCUCCCCCAAUGGCACCAAAACCACUUAGAGAUUAAUAAAUCUGCUACAGCCUUAGCUAAUGGUCACGUGGCUUUUAGCUCAUGCAUUUAGCUCCAGAGAUCCCAGGUUCAAUCCUGCCCACCAACGACCAGGGCCUGUCAGUUUUACAUGUGCACCUACAAAAUGUAGGCACAGGGAUGAGCACAUGCAAAUUGGAGGCUGCCUUUUAAAACUUAAAUCAUAAUCUCCCCUGGCCAAACUAAGCCCUGCUGGAACUCCAUUGAAGUCAGCGAUGUUACUGGACAGCAGGGAUUAACUUGACGCAGUUUGCUUCCGUUUCCUCAUCUUUGAAAUAGGGAUAAUAAUGUUUUACUUCCCUGGCUGGCCUAAGGAUUAGUAGUUAGCUUGUGAUCAGCUAUCUUAAUGUGUAUUGUAAAUUUGGAUCCACUGAGUGUUUAUUGGGACUGAGCGUACGGUGCUUGCCUGGAGAGGCAGCUCGUCCACCAGUGAUCAUUGCAGUGAUGUAAAAAUGAAGCAAAAAAAAAAAAGUCAGACCCCUACCGAUGCAUGUCAAGUCACCUGAAUCUCUCCAGAGGGGUUUAUGCUUUUGUGUGAUUAGAGUCAUAUUUAUAGGAAAAUCAUGACACCUCUCCUCACCUUCCCCAGGGUCUGUCAAACACAUCACUGCUGUUCUCAAUAUCUCAAAAAUUGGCUGGAAACAAAGAACAUGGUGUCUUCUGGGGGGAUUUCAUUCUGAAGGUCCAGAUUGUGAUGCAUUCCAGGGGCCUUAUCCUUUCACAGAAUGCAAGUAGCCUCUACUGAUCCCAAUGGGAGCUACUUAUACUGGGAAAAAUCCACCCCUGUGCAGAGAGCUCACACCAGGCGUAUGCACCAGUUAAUUCCCUAUUUUGGUGGGUUACAUGAGACUGUAAGAGCUGUGAAUUUCACCCACGAGAUAGCAGGAGAAUGGGGCCCCAUGUGAUUCAACUCAGUAGAGCUUAUUAACAGCGUGGCUAGGACAGUAAGGAACCCGAUGUAAUAACAGGGCAGUGAGUUUGCUGAAAGGCCUUGCUGGCUGCUAAGACUCUGAGAACUGCACGGCUCAGGAUCAUUAGCUAUGUCCGCCUGCGAGGAGGAUUGUAAACUGGUACGUGUUCCAUGCACAGAAGGCUUUGCUAAGUAAAGGGGACAGCACAGAAUAAAGCAGAGUUGGACUGAGUCCCUGAGGCAUUGUCCAAUUAUCAAAGGAGUGGUGCGGUCUAGUGGUGUGAGUAACAGGACUGGUAGCCUAUAGCCGCUGUAUUCUCAUCUUGGCUCUAGCAAUGAUUCCCAAUGCCAAAUUCUGGUCUCAGCAUUUGUGAAGGCAGCCGUAAUGCCACUGCCAUCAGUGGGAUUGGCCCACCACUUAGAAAACUGAGAUUUUUCUCCUUUUUUCACCUAACUAAUUUAUUCCUCAAUAAUGCACAGCAUCAGCCUUUCGUAUCGGCAUGAAACCUGGAAACAGGGAGAAGAAAACAGCUGGGGGUUAAAAAAAAAAAAUUGAUUCUUGACCCUUGCAAUCCCCAAUAUGGUUACUGUUUCCGCAUGAAUCUGAAAAUCUAAAUGUGCCCCCAAAAUAGCUUAAGAUCUAGAGGGCAACCACUGCUAAAAUCAAAGAUUUCCUAAGCAAAUCAUGUAUCUAUUGGGGGCUUGAGGGGCGGGAUGAGGAGAGAGAGCGAGAUAGCGCAGGCUUUCUGCUUGUAAACUUGCCUGUGCAUCUAAACCAAUAGUUCACUUCUGAGCAUUCCAAGACACAACAGUGACAAACCUAUUUCUCAUGCAAUACUGUCCAGUUUCCUAGAUUUCGGGCUGUCGCUGUUGGAUUUUUAAACAUCGCCAAACCCAUUGUUUCCCGCCAGGAGCUCCUGAGGCAGAAAUGGGGUUGUUUGUUUGUUUGUUUUUUUAGUUGUCACGGGGAUAUGCUAUGCAGUUUGUUUGUUUGUUUGUUUGUUUGUUUGUUUGUUUGUUUGUUUUAAAGGCAUGCAGGAAACCAAAGCCCCGACUCAAAGAUAAAAGCCUAAACAAGAACACUGGGGUGUUAGGUUAAGGCGGGAGUGGGGAGAGAGAAAGCCAUUAGCGACUAUAAUCCUUUGGAAAAGGGGAGAAAUCAUUCCUAAGGAAGA